rnacentral:lncRNA from 1 species
CUAAGAUUGUCCAACCUAGCAAAGAAAAAGCCUAGUAAGUUUAAUUUGAUUUUUUUCCCUAUUUUCUUCACUGAAACUUCCUUAACAUCACCUUUGUGGCUCUUUGCUGAUUUUCUAUUGCUUCUAGGUUUGGGUGAUUUUAAGGUCUGUUAAUUGAAGACUUUCUAUUGGAUUUCGAUUUCAAUUGUUGGUUAUUGUGCUUGCUUAUGCAUUUGUUGCUUUAAUUUCUUUUUGAUGAUUACUUCUGCUUAAUUGAUUAAUGCUUGAUUGCUAUCUAUGUAUGCUCGAUUGCUGGAUGUAUUGUAUUGCUCUGUGCUUGAUUGUUUGCUGAUCGGAUCUGUUUUUGUAUGUUGAGCUUUGGGUAUUGUAGGAAACUGGUUUUGUUUGCAGGAUUACUUCUUUCUUGCUUGUUGGGGUCCAAAAUUAAUGGGGCUAUCGAAUGAGUUUUUUCUACCGAUUGAUUGUUGUUGUUGCUGCUCAAUUCCUUCCUUAUUCAUAGAUUGGGGGUGUCUUUUAUAAGGAUUGAAUCCUUUCAAACUUGGAAAUUUUAAAUUCUAUUAAAUCUAGGAUUUCACAAAUUCUGUAUGAUUUUUGGCAUGAAUUAAAACCCAAGUUUCCCAUAAUUGAUUAAUCAAUAAAUCUUAACAUUCAAUUGAAUCAAGACCCAAAAGAUUUUUCACCUUUUUUUCUUUUUAUUUUUGACUUUUUUUUAACUUUUUACCAAAACUAAACAAAAAAACUAAAAUAAAAUUAAAAUAGAAAUUAGACUAAAAUUAAAACUAAAAUUAAAAUUAAAACCAAAUUAAAAUCAAAAUUAAAACUAAGAUAAGAUUUUUGGGCUUUUAUCCCUUAAGCCUAAAGAAUUUUAUUAAGACUUAAUUUGCGAUCUAGGCCCAUUUCAAUUUCAACAAAUUUUUUGGACAAAAUAGAGUAUCUAUAGUUGUCUCUCUGUGUAUUUUUUAUGAAACAUGAAUUGUACAAAGACAAAAGACAUCCAUUUUAUUCUGGUUAAGAAAAUUUGAAAGAGAAAAUUACAAAGGUUUCUCUUCAUAGGUUUGAAAUUUUUUGAAAAAUGCUUCUCCCACAAUUGAGGUUUUAAAACUUUUGGAAAAUAAAAUGUCCCUUACAAUUAAGGCUUUGAAAAUAAAAUGCUCCCCCAUAACUAAGGCUUUGAAACUUUUGAAAAAUAAAAUCCUUCCCCACAACUAAAGCUUUGAAACUUUUGAAAAAUAAAAUGAUAUCAUUCUUACCUAGGAAAAAGCUCAUCACUGAUAAAGGCAUUGAAAUUUAAAAACUCUUACCUUAAGUUGAGUCUCUGCAUCUCAUCUAAUUCAUCAUUGAUUACCUUCCAAAGUGUCUUUCAAAACAUUUCAACAUCAGCUUCUUUUUCUACUUUCCAAAUGUAUGCAAUGAAAGCAAACAAUGAAUGAAAAGAUUUUUCAAGAUUCAUUUCAAUUUCAUGAUUCAAUCUUUAAUUAUCUUAUCUUUUUCAAACAUGCAUGAUGCAUAGAAUGAAUGCAAUGCUUUCAGUGUGAUGCAUAUAAUGCAUAUGGAAAAGUGCGAUGCAUGCCAUGCAAUUCAUUUAUCUUCUCAAUUUUGGUAAAUUAAAAGGUUCUCAAAGCUCUUAAUUUAUCUUUUUACUUUCUUUAACUCUUCAACCCUUGUGGCUUUCAACAUGAGUUAUCAUGCCCUAUCAAGUAGUCUCAUCUAAAUUCAAGAUUUUUUAUCAACAUGGCUUAUCAUGCAUGAUCCUUAUAGACAUCAUGCAUUAUCAAGUAAUCUCAUCCAUUUUAUCAUCCUAAUUCAAAGGUAGGUUAUCAUGCGCGAUCCUUAUAGAUAUCAUGCACAUCAAGUAAUCUCAUCCACUUUAUCAUUCAAAGGCAAGAUGAGACCUUUAAGAAUUUUAUUCUAAAUUAUUGGGGAUUGAUAUUCUUUCGGCCUUCUUAUUACCUUUACUAUUUUCUUCCUUUUUCUAAAGUAAUGUGGAGAUCUUUUAUGCAUUUUUUCAUUUACUCAUCAUUAUUGCAAUAAUACAACAAAUACAAUGCAAUCAUAUAUUUUUUCAAUCAAAAUAGAGAUAAAUAAGGCAAUGUGAAAGGUAAGAAAGAUAUUUAUUGAAAGAAAUGGAUUUGGUAAAUAAAAGAGGAUAAUCAAUCGAUAAUUAAAUGGGUAUCAAAGUAUCUAAAUAAGAAAAAGACAAUGGUUGAUCAAUAAUUGAAUGGGUAAUAACGUAUUCAAAUAAUGAAUGUU